UACGGGGGGGGCAAGCGUUGUUCGGAAUUACUGGGCGUAAAGGGCUCGUAGGCGGCCAACUAAGUCAGACGUGAAAUCCCUCGGCUUAACCGGGGAACUGCGUCCGAUACUGGAUGGCUUGAGUUUGGGAGAGGGAUGCGGAAUUCCAGGUGUAGCGGUGAAAUGCGUAGAUAUUGGGAAGAACACCGGUGGCGAAGGCGGCGACCUGGUCCGAUACUGACGCUGAGGCGCGAAAGCGUGGGGAGCAAACAGG
rnacentral:rRNA from 1 species